GUGAUAGAGGCGCGAUGCUUAAUAGUAAUUAUUCUGAGUUGCCAGCUUUGAAGAAUAACGAAAGGAACCAUCGCCGAAAUAAAUUGUCAUGGCAAAGAUAAUUUGUUGGUCUUGGGUUGAAUAUGCACAAGACUGUCAUACGUAAUUCGUAUGGAGAGCUAUCUU
rnacentral:ncRNA from 1 species